rnacentral:rRNA from 1 species
AUUGAACGCUGGCGGCAUGCCUUACACAUGCAAGUCGAACGGCAGCGGGGACUUCGGUCCGCCGGCGAGUGGCGAACGGGUGAGUAAUGUAUCGGAACGUACCAUUGAGUGGGGGAUAACGUAGCGAAAGUUACGCUAAUACCGCAUAUUCUCUCCGGAGGAAAGUAGGGGACCGCAAGGCCUUGCGCUCUUUGAGCGGCCGAUAUCAGAUUAGCUAGUUGGUGAGGUAAAGGCUCACCAAGGCGACGAUCUGUAGCGGGUCUGAGAGGAUGAUCCGCCACACUGGAACUGAGACACGGUCCAGACUCCUACGGGAGGCAGCAGUGGGGAAUUUUGGACAAUGGGGGCAACCCUGAUCCAGCCAUGCCGCGUGAGUGAAGAAGGCCUUCGGGUUGUAAAGCUCUUUCGGCCGGGAAAAAAUCGCAUGGGCUAAUACCCUGUGUGGAUGAUGGUACCGGAAUAAGAAGCACCGGCUAACUACGUGCCAGCAGCCGCGGUAACAC